rnacentral:rRNA from 1 species
GCGUUGCUCGGAAUCACUGGGCGUAAAGCGCACGUAGGCGGACUCUUAAGUCAGGGGUGAAAUCCUGGAGCUCAACUCCAGAACUGCCUUUGAUACUGGGAGCCUUGAGUUCGGGAGAGGUGAGUGGAACUGCGAGUGUAGAGGUGAAAUUCGUAGAUAUUCGCAAGAACACCAGUGGCGAAGGCGGCUCACUGGCCCGAUACUGACGCUGAGGUGCGAAAGCGUGGGGAGCAAACAGG